GACGAACGCUGGCGGCGUGCUUAACACAUGCAAGUCGAACGGAAAGGCCCUGCUUUUGUGGGGUGCUCGAUAGGCGAACGGGUGAGUAACACGUGAGUAACCUGCCCUUGACUUUGGGAUAACUUCAGGAAACUGGGGCUAUUACCGGAUAGGAGCUCCUGCUGCAUGGUGGGGGUUGGAAAGUUUCGGCGGUGGGGGAUGGACUCGCGGCUUAUCAGCUUGUUGGUGGGGUAGUGGCUUACCAAGGGUUUGACGGGUAGCCGGCCUGAGAGGGUGAACGGCCACAUUGGGCCUGAGAUACGGCCCAGACUCCUACGGGAGGCAGCAGUGGAGAAUAUUGCACAAUGGGCCGAAGCCUGAUGCAGCAACGCCGCGUGCGGGAUGACGGCCUUCGGGUUGUAAACCGCUUUCGCCUGUGACGAGGCGUGAGUGACGGUACUGAGUCAAGAAGCACCGGCUAACUACGUG
rnacentral:rRNA from 1 species